GAUGAAGAACGUAGCGAAAUGCGAUAAGUAGUGUGAAUUGCAGAAUUCAGCGAAUCAUCGAAUCUUUGAACGCACAUUGCGCCCCUUGGUAUCCCGAGGGGCAUGCCUGUUCGAGCGUCAUUUCACCACUCAAGCCUGGCUUGGUGUUGGGCGACGUCCUCUUUGGGGACGCGCCUCGAAACGCUCGGCGGCGUGGCACCGGCUUUAAGCGUAGCAGAAUCUUUCGCUUUGGAAGUCGGGGCCCCGUCUGCCGGAAGACCUGCUCGCAAGGUUGACCUCGGAUCAGGCAGGGAUACCCGCUGAACUUAAGCAUAUCAAUAAGCGGAGGA
rnacentral:misc_RNA from 1 species